UGUGGUUGUUGCUGAUGUCUUCCUGUUCUGCGCUGGCACCGCAGAGGUACUUUUAUCUUCCAGAGUAACCAGCACUGAGGUCUCUCCCAUGGACAUUUCUUCUGCAGAAGAGUCCAGUUACAUCACUUUGAAGUUCCAAGCGACAUAUUUGCAAAGAGCCCCGAGGAAAUGUUUCCCAUCGAAGCUGGCUCCUGCAGGCUGCCGGAGGAGGUGGGUGCCCCGUGGGAAGGUGCUGCCAGCUCGGGUGUCCCCUCCUGUGACAGGCAAGGAGGCUGUGGCAUGAUGGCGUUUGCAGAAGAUGAAGAACAAGUCCUUUCACUGACACCUAGCAAACACCUGGAUGGACAGCCCAGCAUCCGCUCAGUGCUGAUGGCGAUGACCAGGCGUGCGUGAAAUGACUACUGCCGCUUCUUCCGUGCACGGCAAUGCUUGGCAGGGGCAAGGCCGGUGCCACUACACCAGGCGCUAUACGCUGGCAGCAGCAUCGUCCCUGCCCCGCAUGCUCACAGCCUGCAUGGCUGCCCCUGCAGCCCCAUGGCCGUUACUCUGGCUAUGUGCUACAGCAGACGAGACAGGAGAAUGUCCCUCCGAUGUGCACCGCCACUGGAUUAAAGUUAUACACGUUUGUAUGCAUUUGUAGGGAGAGAGGGAGCUUUUGCAGCAGCACAUAUGUGAGAGAGUGCUGCCAUCUUUUGGCUAUGCAAAUCAGGAGAGGUGUAGAGGAGUUAUAGAGGGGUCCUAUGGCAACUUGUAUUGGCUAGGAAAAUGUUGCUUAUGCACUACUUUUCUCUGUUUUGUAUGGUUUUACCUUUAUUCCCAUUACCAUGUAUUAUUCCCUUUACCAUAUGAAGUGACCCUGGGUGCGAGGGACGAGCCCUGAGCUGUGCUCAGCUCUGACCAAGGGGACACUGUGGUGGCUCCCAACAGCCCAAGCUGACCAUCCAAGCAAGCGUACUGUGUUGUGGGACACCAGCAUCCCUUUCUUCCAAACAAA